rnacentral:rRNA from 1 species
AAGGAUCAUUACAGUAUUCUUUUUGCCAGCGCUUAAUUGCGCGGCGAAAAAACCUUACACACAGUGUUUUUUGUUAUUACAAGAACUCUUGCUUUGGUCUGGACUAGAAAUAGUUUGGGCCAGAGGUUUACUAAACUAAACUUCAAUAUUUAUAUUGAAUUGUUAUUUAUUUUAAUUGUCAAUUUGUUGAUUAAAUUCAAAAAAUCUUCAAAACUUUCAACAACGGAUCUCUUGGUUCUCGCAUCGAUGAAGAACGCAGCGAAAUGCGAUAAGUAAUAUGAAUUGCAGAUUUUCGUGAAUCAUCGAAUCUUUGAACGCACAUUGCGCCCUUUGGUAUUCCAAAGGGCAUGCCUGUUUGAGCGUCAUUUCUCUCUCAAACCUUCGGGUUUGGUAUUGAGUGAUACUCUUAGUCGAACUAGGCGUUUGCUUGAAAUGUAUUGGCAUGAGUGGUACUGGAUAGUGCUAUAUGACUUUCAAUGUAUUAGGUUUAUCCAACUCGUUGAAUAGUUUAAUGGUAUAUUUCUCGGUAUUCUAGGCUCGGCCUUACAAUAUAACAAACAAGUUUGACCUCAAAUCAG